rnacentral:sRNA from 1 species
UCUCGGUAAACAACAGGUGCGAGCUCGAGGUUGGGGGGACUUCCACUCCGAGGGGGUAGCGGCCGUGCCCCCUGCAUAGGGCAUAUUAUCUGUCGGAUUCAGCUGUCUAUUCCACCUCGACCAGCGGACUAGGUACUACAGAGAGUACAUAUUACUAUAAGAAGACAUGGAUAUACGGAUACCAGUGAUUGCGGCAGUUACACUCCUUAUCAGCCUCUCUGAAGCAGCUUCGUUGGUCCCCACGAAAACCGGAUAUGAGUGCGAUGAUACAUCAGUGUAUGGCACUUGCGCAGAAAUAGUUGCAAAACAUUCCUUGCAAGACAUUUUAACGAAUAUGUGCAGUUUUUAUCUGCGAUGGAGAGAGUGUGUUAUAGAAUACGUAUCCGUGUGUGGGACACAUGACGGCAUCGUCCCCACAGGAUGGCUAGAUGACCGGUGCGCAGAUCAAAAGAACCAGCAAGUAAAAAGAGUGUGACACGUUCUACAGAUUGAUAUUUUGUCAAAACUUUCUGAAUUUUGGUGUAAUAGGUAUUUAUGGAUACGAGCAUUUGGUAAUAAAAUAUUCAGUUCGAAAAUCAUGUGUUGUUGCAGAGACUUAUGUCUGGUUGUUGUUUUAAUAAUUUUGGUGUUAUUAGGGUACAUUUAGAUGACAUAGGCGUUCAUUGGGGAUAUAAAAAGAUCGCUUUUGCUCAUUAAUGUAAAACGAUAUUUAACGGUUAGUCAGAACCACUAGAUUCAUUAAGUAUUUUUAAGGUUGAUUGCAGUUUCAUUCAGGUUUAUAAGAGUUCACUUGGGCAAAACUAAUCACUGGAUGGCAAUGUUACAUAAUUAUACAAAGCCUUGUUUACAAAAGAGAGAAGCAAUCGCAUAAAUGGCAAAAUGAUAAGCAAUAGAAUGAAUUAUUUUAACUUCUUAAAUUAACGAAAAGUUCAAACUAUGUUGCUUCAAUUCAAUUUAAAGGCCGAAC